CAUAGCUCUCUGCCAGAGCUAAAUGCUGAAGUAUGGAGGGUGAAGCCUGCCCGAUGGUUGUAUCUGAAAUGGUUGGCUAAAGUCAACUUUAUAAGGGCAAUUGAAUGGCCGCGGUAACACUGACCGUGAUAAUGUAGCGUAAUCAAUAGCCAAUUAAUUGUUGGCCGGUAUGAAUGGCAUCACGAAGGCCCCACUGUCUUAAGAGGACUCUCCAUGAAAUUGAAUUCGUAGUGAAGAUGCUACGUCCAUAUUGUAAGACGAAAAGACCCCAUUGAGCUUUACUAAAGACUUGUAUCGCUCGAAAUAACUUAAAUAAAAAGUUUAGAUAAUGUGGGAACCGUUUUUGGUUAAUGAAACACCACUCUUUUAUUUUAAGAGAGCUAACCUUGUAGGGAGAAUGCAAGUUGGAUAGUUUGGUUGGGGCGACCACCUUUUAAAAGGUAACGAAGGUGAGCUUAAGGUCCGUAGUUAAUAGCUAGUGGCCUGACUGCAAGGGGGACAUCCCGAGCAGACACUGGUAAUCUCUCAGUGGGUUAUAGUGACCCGUCAUCUUAGAGUGGAAUAGUUGACGAUCAACGAAUAAAAGCUACCAUGGGGAUAACAGCGUUAUAUCGUUAGAGAGC
rnacentral:rRNA from 1 species